UUUAUAACAUUUUCAACCCCAUGGAAAAUUGACGUCACGAGCAUGCACUGGUAUAUGAAGCACGCUUGCGCAACUGAAUUUGAUAAGAAAAAUUAACUAGCUACGUUAUAAAUCUGUUUUCCCAAUGGAAAUGUAUUGUUUUUGUCAUUGUUUUCUCCAUUCAAGAACUGAAAACAUAAUGUAGUAUGGGGCUGUAAGGAAAUUUUACCCGGCGAUUUUAUGUAACAAGUGGAAAUUUACUAUCUUGCAGUGAAAUCGUGGAGGGAGGGGGGAAUUAUAUUUUAAUCCAGGGGGAGUCGUAUUUUUAUCCAGUGAUUUUUGUUGCUUAACUGCUGUGCAGGUUGUUUUCACAGAAGCUUUACGAGCAAAGGAAUAUCACAGUCAGACGCCUCCGCAUCUAUUUAAAUUCAAAUACAACGCAACUCACCCGUACGAACGAGAAAUUGGCACCCAAGUGCUGAUAGACAUUCUGCUCUUAGCCAGGUGUGACGUGUUCUUACAUGCCGAGUCCAGUGUAGCCGCUCUGGCAAGUUACUUCAACCCGCAUAUGAGAAGCUAUUUCAUGGAUGAAGAGCCUGCUGAGGAUCAAGGAACAAUUCGUCAAAGAAGAAAUCUGAAUGAAGAAGCAAGAAUGGAGAAACAAGAGCUAGAGGACGCUCUAGAAUCGAUAGUAGAGUGUCUUGUCAAUCAUUCCGUUGGAAGUGCCUGUCCGAAUAUUGCCCAGGGUUUACUUGUUGACUUGUUUAAGGUUUCUCUUUAGCUCUCUCUGAGUAUUUCUCAGAACAAGAAAAAAAAUUUAUGAUUUUAAUCUUUGCAAAGAUUUUGAGAUACAAAUGAGAUGGAAAGAGGAGA